UUUAAAGUAGAAUAUCAGGCGAUGCAACACGAAGGCUUUGUGCCCACAGGCUUGGAGUAUGUCACAUCGAUCCUGCCUGCUGUUGUCGGUUGUAAUUUUGUUAUCUUGCUGUGUGUUUAUUCACAGUCGUUGGUGCUGCUCUCUGGCACUGAUUCCGGGUGAGAGGUUACUCCCAAUAACUCCCUCUUGACGUGCGCCUUUCUUCAAUUCGCCUCUACAUCUUCUCAUUUCUUAGCCCCAACCUCCUUCUCAAUUCUGAAGAAAACUUACCGGCGUUCUGUUUAUAGUUGCAUCGUGUUUUGGCAAAUGUGAACGGGACGCAGAAGAGAUUGAAGAUUGGACUUUUCUUUUUAAAAAAGUGCAAUGAUUAAGAUUUUUUCAAAGAAAAGAAUUUUUUUCAGUAAAGAUUUAUAUCUAAAGGAAGCCCAUCUUUUGCACAUGGCACAAAGUGUGUGGCUGUUAGGAACUUUGUGUGUGUAUAUAUUGCUGUGGACAGCGCUGUAAGAAACUUCUCCACAAAUUCGAUCCGCAGCGGGAACCCGGAUCCGCCGCGCGUUCCGAUUGCGCCCUUUCCUCCGCCCCAAUUUCCGCGCGAGAUCAGCGGGGCGCAGAUUUACUCCUCGUUGUUUGGGACUGCGAGACAAACCACGUGCCCUCCCGCCCGAGUUUCCUCUUCGACAAAAUUCCGGACGGUCGGAAAUUCGGGCGCGCCGUCCUUUCCGAUUGUUUGCAGUAUGUUUGACAUUUCCUGUGUGUGUGUCGGGGCAGGGGGUGGUGGGGUUUGCCGAAAUUUCAACGAGAUCUAAUUAUCCACGCCGAAGCAGUGGCCGGAGUUGCAGACCUACUCUAGAGAGAGGGAGGUCCUUAACUAAUUCGGAACUUCUUUGGAGUCUAACAAAGUGAGUUGGCUUCCAGAAAGACCAUUGAAGUCGGAGGAGUAUAAACUUCAUUGCCAAGUGAAGCCUUGCCUACAAUGUGGAUGGUGGCUUAGAUAAGCAACUUAUACCCAGGUGCCUCCUCACAGUCUGGAGUAGGUGGGCCGUAAAUCCAGACCUAUCUGGCUCAAAAGGAGGUCUUGUGGCAGUAGUAGCAUCCCUGCCCCCCAGACGGAAGCUACGGAUUCAAGUCGACCACAGAAUAUGAUGGUCAAGGAAGUUUCAUUAACUGAGUAUGCCUCAACUGAAUGAUUAUUGAAAGGAAAGUAUCAAAUCCACGUUGAGUACAUCAAUUUAUGUAGUCCUUAGUCACCUGCAUCAUCUUCGGCUAACGAUGAGCAGAAAGUGAAGAUCGCCAAGAGCCCACAGUCACAGGAGAAUGUUUCAUGUCUAGGGGAGAGGGUGUGGAGAGAUUUUGAAGAUGAUAUUGUAAAUUCAAUCUGCUGGUAUUGAGAACCUCAAGACCACUGAGAUAGAUGUAAUGGGUGAACAUGACUCAUUGCGUAUUUGAAUGUACUAGGUGAGAUUUUGAAAAAUCUGACGCUUACAUUAAAAUGGAGAUCGUGAGGUUGGCUGGGAGUUCAUUGAAGAGGUUUAGUAUGGACAUGAAGAAGGUAUGGAUAACGGUUCAGCAAAAUAGAAUAAGAUACUGGGAGGUGAGCAGUGCUGUAGAGGUGUAAAUAAUUGGUGCUAAGAAACAGUUUCUACUGUGCAGUUAUCCCUUGCAACUGAGUUGAAUACUGAUACAUACAAAUAUGUGCUGACGACAUCCAGCUUUGGUUCAAUAUCAUUCGUCUCAUGGUAACGAGGUUCUAUUUUGCAGUUGGAAUUUAACUUUAUUAACUGUGAGGUGGGAGAACUAACAAGACAAGAGAAUACUCAGUGAGAUUCAGGACACUAGAAAGCUCAGAGAAAUCUUGGGAUGUUUGUCCACAGAUCCCUGAAGGCAGCAGGACAGUUAAGGUAUAGAUUGUAAGAACACAGACGUUAUGUUGUAGUUCUAAUCUCUGUGCCACUGGGACGAUGUGAUUAUACUGAAGGGCGGACAGAAGAGAUUAAUAAAAAUAUUGCCUGGGGAGCAGUAUUUUAGCAACAAAGAAAGGCUGGACAAGCUCGAAGAGUUUUCUUUGGAACAGAGAAAGUCGAGUCAGCCCUGAUAGAAGUGUAUAAGAUUGUGAGGGUCGUGGACUGCGUGGCUAGAAAGCAGCUGUUCUCUUUAGUUAAAGGGUCAAUAACAAGGGGUGCACGUAUAAAGGGAAGUGAAGGAGGUGAGGCAGAAAAAUGGCUUCAUUCUCAUGAUAGUAAGGGUCGGAAUGCACCUGCCUGGGAGCAUAGUUGAGCAACCUCAAACUUUAAAAAGUAUUUGGAUGUGCACUUCAGAUGUCAUAGUAUUCAAGACAAUGGACCUAGUGCUGGAGUUUAUUCAUUCAGAGGACAAUGACUAUUUAUUGCCCAAUGCUGAUUUCCCAGAGGUCAGUUGAGAAUCAGCCACAUCACUGUGGGUCUAAAGUCACAUGUAGGCCAGACUAGAUAAGGACUGCAAUUUCCUUUCCAAAAGGAUAUUAGAGGUUGAUUUGUUUUGUGGGUGGGUGGGUGGAGGGGUGAAAAAUUGGCUGUGGUUUCAUGGUCAUCAUUUGUCUCUUAAUUCCAGAUUUUUAAAACAUGCCAGUUCAAAUUCUGACAUGUCAGGAUUUGGAUCCAGAUUAUUUCCUUGUUUUCUGGGUUAAUAAUAUAUAACACAGCUGUGCCAUCAUUGUCUCUUGGCAGUGCAGGUUCAAUGGGUUGAAAGGCCUUGUCUAUACUGUAUGAUUCUACGAGUCUGUACCUAUUACAAAAAAAAAUCCUUGUUCCCCAUUACUCUUCCCUUCUAAUUAACAUGAUAUUCCUUGUUUACCUAACCUGACAAUGCUUCAGGUCCUAAAUGGUUACCUACAGCAUCCAACUUUAGCUGCACAUCACUUCUCUUGUGAUACAAGGUGCUAUUAACAGUGUGUUCAAGUGGAACAUACCAAACAACUCCUGCUCACUAGUACCUGUUCGCAUUUUACCAGAAUCACUCAGCCCCAGAUUUCAUUAUCACUUUUGUCUAAAUAUUGACAAGCAAUAAAUUCCAGUGGAACAUGACAGUUCCUGGAUUUGACUUCAAGAUAAUGCGGCAUCAAGAAGCCUUAGUUUUAAAAAUAAAACUAAUAAUGCUGGACUAAAUUGUUUCUGAUUUAUUAGGCCCUUUGUCUGACAUCUAGAACAACAGAUGAACAAAUGAAUUAGGAGCAUGAGACAUCUAUUUGGUCCAUUCAGCAUGCUCUGCUGCUUGAUUAAGAUCUUUGUUGAUAUGAUUGUGCCCUCAAGGCUGUUUUCCUAUCCUCCUAAGAUAGCCAUUCACUCACUUGUCAAUCAAGAAUCUGUCUAACUUAGCCUUAAAAAUAGUCAAUGACAAUGCUUUCAUUAUUUUCUCAGCAACAGAAUUCCAUAGAUUACCAGCCAUCUGUGGUGACAAAAACUUGUCUUUGUGCUUGUUCUAAGAGAGAGACUCUGUUAUUUUUAAGCAAUGCCACAAAUUUUAGUGCCUCAGAUAAGGGAACCAACCUCUUAGGUUCCUCAAUGCUUCACAGGAAGACGAAAACCCAUUGUUUUCAGUCCCUCCCAUAGAAUCUAUUUCCUAGCCAUUAACUGCAUUCUAUUUCUUGACACUGUCCAAUGCUGAGCUAGACCUUUUGGAAUUAUAGUAUUGUAUUUGCCUCAGAUAAGAACAAUCAGUUGUAUAUCUGCGAUAUCAUGGGGACUGCCCGCUUUGAUCACCUUUUAUACUGAUCUGUCUCAAUUUACACUGUUGAAACCCUGUUCCAAGUUGUUACUACUUCUGGAUUAGGGUAUAAUACAACUGUCUUCACUAAGCUUUCAUUUUCACCCUGUGUCAACUUGAGCUCAUCCAAAACUCUGCUACUUGUAUCUCAAUUCACCAAAAUGCUUUUGUCCUUAUGCUUUUUGACCUAUAUUUUAUUGCAAUCCGGUUGCAGUAGUUCUCAAAUUCACAUCCUUGUUUUCAGAUCCCUCUGGUUUCAUCCAUUCCUCUCUGUCUCAAUAUUUCUACCUCAGAAAUCUCUGAAAGCUCUGUGCUGCUCCAGUUCUGGCCUCUUGUGUGUCCCACAUUUUAAUUGCCCUCCCUUUGGUAGCUGUGCGUUCAGCUGCCCACACCCUACACAGUGGAAUUCUGUCCGUAAACCUCUGCACCUCUUUAUUUCAACCCUCCUUUAAGAUGCUUCUUUUAUCUAUCACUUGAACAAAGCUUUCACUUUCACUUCCUCCUUAAAUGCUUUGGUGUCUCAAUUUUAUUUGAUAAUGCUCCUAUGAAGUGCCUUGGGAUUUUUUUUUCCAUUAAAGAUGUUGCAAAUAUAAAAAAUCUACUUGUGCACUGUGUGUGGCCUGACCAAUGCACAGUAAUAUUGUCCAUGAGAAUGCAAGCUGACAUGUCCACUUCUUGCUUUAUGAGUUAUGAACAUAUGAAAAAUGACAGGAAAUCAGUAACCAGUUUAUUAAGUUUAUCCUAACCUGACAGACCUAAUGCACAACUCAUGCACAAUAUCAUCUUUCCCUUGCUUCUGAUAGUCAUAUAGUCUCUUGGGUGAAGCAUAGAAAAGAGGAACACUCACUGAAAUUUGCCUUCAAUUCUUAGAAGUAAUGAAGCAAAUUCUAAGAUAUCACCAGUUCCAACCACCUGCAUUCUAUAACAAGAUAUCUUUGACUCAUCCAACUCUCAAUUCAAAUGGCAACUGUGAACCUACAAUUGACACAUGUUGCACAGUUUUUGGCUCUGAAGAAAUCAUUACUUCCUGGCUUGUUUUUGUGAUGUUUUUGAGGCCUGUUUGUCGUCUCCUGCCAUUUAAUGCAGUGACCCUUCCACUUGGAAUGAAUCUAAUCCCUUCAUUAUUAACAAUAUCUCAAAGACUUUGCUUUUUCACAGGGAAAAGUCCCAGCUUUCUAAAUCAGUACUGAUAAUUAAAGGCCCUGAAAUGAGCUAUCAACUUUUCAGAUCCUCAAUAUUCUGCUUCCACGUUAGGGGUCCAAGAAUGGAAAUGGUAUUCUUGAUAACCCUGAGCAAGACCUUGUGUAAGCCCACAGGUAGUGCUGGAAAGAGUCACCUGUUCCAUGGAGCAGUUCUUUACACCAGCUGCUGUGAUGAGACCAAACUGAGACAAUACCACGGACUGAGUCACAUUAAAAUUUUCGAGAGCAGCUCACUUUUUGGUAGCGUCUGGAUCAUACAUCUCCCACUCUGCCUUCAUUAAUACUGGAAGUGGGAUGAGAGUGUCACUGGUGAGACAGCAUUUAUGGCCCAUCCCUAAUCACCCAGAGGGCAGUUAAGAGUCAACCACAUUGCUGUCAGUCUGGAGUCACGUGUAGACCAGUCCAGAUGCUGCCAGACCUGCUGAGCUUUUCCAGCAACUUUGUUUUUCUACAACAUGCUCUCGUUCUGGUUCCAAAACACGCUGUUUUAAGAAGAUAUUUCAGAUGCAUUUUAUGAACUUUUCAUCUGAGUUACCAAUGCAACUACGAUUUUUCCCAUCUACAUGUAGAUUUACAUGUAGACUGAUCAUUCUUGCAGUCCUUUAUUACAAACAGCCAAUAUUUCUUCCUGUAAACUUUGUUGUACAUUGGUUAAGAGUCCUGUAGAGCAUUGCCACUAGUAAUUUAUUUCUCCUGCUAUUUCUCAACUCUCUCCAUAAGGACUUAUGUCCUCAUCUCCUGAAACAAAUUUAUCUUUAACUAUUUCACCAGGACCACUCUUGAGUACGAGUACUGCUCUACCAUCUUUAUUUCGCUUUCUUUUCUUCUCGAAUAUCCAGUUCCCCUUAAAGUUGAGGGCCUAG